rnacentral:lncRNA from 1 species
UGACAGCCGCAUGCGGCACGGCCAUCUAGGGACAUUGUCCCGCCGAGGGCAUUGUCAACCCUGGUGAUUUGACAGCCGCACGGCGACGUGACACUUUCACGGCGACUCUGACAGUCCACAGUGAGUUGACAGUUCCUCACUUGUCCGCGCCAUUAAUGACGGCGCCAUACCGUGCUCCACUAUAUAAAUCGGGGAAGGUAACAGUGCAAGG